ACAGAGGAGCCUGGGAAAUCAGUUUCUUGGAAGGCAGAGGAGUGCUGGGGAAUAUGGGAGUGGAUCUAAGGGCAAACAGACAAAUGACCAUCAUGAGGUGCAGGAACGAAGAUCAGGAGAUCAGUGAGGAAGACGCUGCAAUGGUCCAGCAGGGGCUGAGUCGCUGGUGUGGAAGAGAGAGCCACAGUCCCCGGCUUGCACCCUUCCAUGGGGCCAGGCAAGCCCCCAGAAGGAUGGCAGCCCGGGCGUCUGAGCCAGCGCCUGGGCAGCCUGUGAGCACAGGGCGAAGCCU
rnacentral:lncRNA from 1 species